GAUGAACGCUAGCGGCAGGCCUAAUACAUGCAAGUCGAGGGGCAGCGCGGUAGCAAUACUGGCGGCGGCCGGCGCACGGGUGCGUAACACGUAUGCAACCUACCUUCAACUGGAGGAUAGCCCGGGGAAACUCGGAUUAAUACUCCAUAACACAGGGAUCCCGCAUGGGAAUAUUGUUAAAGCUACGGCGGUUGAAGAUGGGCAUGCGUUCGAUUAGCUAGUUGGUGUAGGUAACGGCUCACCAAGGCUACGAUCGAUAGGGGGUCUGAGAGGAUGAUCCCCCACACUGGUACUGAGAUACGGACCAGACUCCUACGGGAGGCAGCAGUAGGGAAUAUUGGUCAAUGGGCGCAAGCCUGAACCAGCCAUGCCGCGUGCAGGAAGAAGGCCCUCUGGGUUGUAAACUGCUUUUGAUAGGGACAAAUGCCACUUGCGAGUGGAGCUGAGUGUACCUAUAGAAUAAGCACCGGCUAACU
rnacentral:rRNA from 1 species